CUCGUCUCCACUCUCCUCUCUCUGUCUCCGAAACGCACGGACACUCUCAAUCCGCUGCCGUCCCCCUGCCGCCGCUCCCUCUCCUCCGACCCGGCCAUGGCCCUUCCAGCGCAUCUCCAGCUUGCACUCGGCUCGCAUCACCCAUCAGCAUAGAUCGAGGUCGCCCCUUGCUGUGUCCCCUCCGCUUCUGCCGCUUGAGCUCGCGAGUCGGAGCUCCAUUUGCUUGUGCAGGAGGAGAUCCACCGCUGCUCCAAGGCCUCCUGCUUUCCAUCCUCCUCCUCGUUGCUCACACCGGCAUCCGCUGUUGCGUUGUAUAUCGCCAAGCUUGCUCCAACGCUCCGGUAAGCAGGGAUGUCGUGGGCCCGUGGAACUGGGAUCCUAGAGUCGCCGUGCUCGCGGUGGCUGUCUGCAGGACGCAGGGUGGGGUGGUGCUUAGGAUACAGAAGCCGGUGGAGCGCUUUGUGGGCGGCCGCAUGAUUCUGGAGGUGAUGGCGCUGAUGGAGGGCCUCGACGCCACCCUGGGGUUGGGCAUCCACAGUGUCACUGCCGUCACUGGUUCCGCCCGCUCUACAACCAUGUGGACAUAAGGGUUACCCCUGGAUCAUAUGCAACUGAAGCUGCUGUAAAUAAGGAACUGAACGACAAAGAACGUGUUGCGGCUGCAUUGGAAAACUCAAACCUACUGGACAUGGUUGAAGAGUGCUUAUCAACAACAUUUGAAUGUUGAGGCCUGAAUACUAUAUCUGGGUGUCACAACGAUGAUGUUCAGAAGCCACAUAAGCUUAUUUCCAGUGGAGUUCACUUUUGUCUUUCUUGGAUCCUACUCUCCAGACCCUCUAAUUGCAUAUGCUGCUUUCUACGCCCCCAAGCCCGCUCCAACACAACCAAUUCAUAGUCUAGGCAUAGAAAUUAGUAGCUGACCUGCAGCGCACGAGUUUUACCCAUAAAAUGUGCGAUGGUUGGGGUUUGGCGACUGAUGGAAAAGUUCUUUUUGGCAGUGAUGGCACUUCAAUGCUGUAUAAGCUGGAUCCAAAGUCACUUGAAGUCAUGAAAGUGGUGACUGUCAAGUAUCACGGUGAUGAAGUCCCCUACCUUAGUGAGCUGGAGUAUAUAGAUGGUGAAGUCUGGGCAAAUGUCGGGCAGGUUAGAUGUAGUUCCUCCUAGCUAACAUAUCUUAUCAUGAAGUAUCUUAGUGAAACUAUGUACUGCAUUUCGCAAGGACCACUAUAUCUUCCAUUAGUAUCUUAGUGGCGACUCCAGGAUGUUAGACCAAGUACGAAUGAGGUUUAAAGGCUUCUCCGAUUAUUAUUUCUAGGUCUGUACCUCAACUUUCCUCAAAGUGACCAAGUUUCACUGAGUGAUGCUCUUCAUUUGGCCUAUUGAUGCCAAAUAGGUUGCUGGGUCCUUACUACAAUGCACUCACACUGUUUUUUUUUUCACGAUAAUUAGCCAUCUUAUGGGAGUUCCUCUACCCAAUUUUCUCUCCACUUAAUGCUAAGUGAUUUUCUGUAUUUCUAUGUAAUUUUGUUGUACCCUACUAAUAUAUGAUUUAUCAAUGUACGCAGAGAUAGAUACCUUGUAAUUUUCUAUAAUGUCUGACCUAGGCAUCUGAAUUUUGAAAGCUAUGAUACGCAGACAGAUUGCAUAGCUAGAGUGUCCCCUAAAAUGGCCUAGUGGUGGGCUGGAUCUUUCUUCAUGAGCUGAGGCGGCAAUUGUGGAACUCAGGCAAUACGGGUUGUGGACGCCCGUGUAUGGCUGCUAGGCGGCCAGGGAUGCCGCCGCUGCUGGCCGAGGACUGGCCAGGGCUAGAGCCGCCUACUCUUUGGAAACGAAGGCAGGAAACGCAAGAUCGCAGAGCUGACGCGGUGGUCCUCGACGGCUUCAAGGACGGGCGAGCAACGAGGGCGACGAGCAAUGUCCUGGCAACGCAGGAUCACAGGGGGGGUUUGAUGUGCAAGUACCUGGCAACGUAGGAUCGCGCAGGGCUGAUGGGCGAGGUCGUGUGAGGUGCGACGUGCGAGGUGCGAGUACCUGGCAACGCAGGAUCGCGCAGGGCUGAUGUCGUGGUCCUCGACGGCUUCAAGGACAGGCGAGCGAGGGCGAGGAAGGAUGGUCGACGGUGAGGUCGGGCGAGGGCGACGGUGAGGUCGGUCGAGGGCGUGUUCAGGGAACUGGCAACGCAGGAUCGGAAAGGAUGUUUUGUUUCCUUUACGAGGGACCGAAAUUUUAGCUACGGAAGACUACGUAGGAUAGAAAGAGAUGCAAAUUUCAUAUCAGGAAUCCUAUAUUUUUUCAUAUUUUAUUUCGCACCCUUACACAUCCCUGUUUAUAUAUUAUUCUUUAUUGUAAAUUUACAUUAGGAAUCCUUUCUUGUUUUUUUAUUCAAUUUUCACCCUUC